AGCCUGCAAGCCGACGCCUCGGGAGGAGUUGCAACGUUUGUCAGCAGUGAAGGGACUGCGCUCCAAGCUCGUGAGGCUGGCAACGGAGCAC
rnacentral:SRP_RNA from 1 species